rnacentral:rRNA from 2 species
UUCCGGUUGAUCCCGCCGGACCUGACUGCUAUCGGAUUGAUACUAAGCCAUGCGAGUCAUUGUAGCAAUACAAGGCAGACGGCUCAGUAACGCGUAGUCAACCUACCCUAUGGACGGGAAUAACCUCGGGAAACUGAGAAUAAUGCCCGAUAGAACAUUAUGCCUGGAAUGGUUUAUGUUCCAAAUGAUUUAUCGCCGUAGGAUGGGACUGCGGCUUAUCAGUUUGUUGGUGAGGUAAUGGCCCACCAAGACUAUUACAGGUACGGGCUCUGAGAGGAGUGGCCCGGAGAUGGGUACUGAGACACGGACCCAGGCCCUAUGGGGCGCAGCAGGCGAGAAAACUUUGCAAUGUGCGAAAGCACGACAAGGUUAAUCCGAGUGGUUUCUGCUAAAGGAACCUUUUGACAGUCCUAGAAACACUGUUGAAUAAGGGGUGGGCAAGUUCUGGUGUCAGCCGCCGCGGUAAAACCAGCACCUCAAGUGGUCAGGAUGAUUAUUGGGCCUAAAGCAUCCGUAGCCGGCUCUGUAAGUUUUCGGUUAAAUCUAUACGCUCAACGUAUAGGCUGCCGGGAAUACUGCAGAGCUAGGGAGUGGGAGAGGUAGACGGUACUCGGUAGGAAGGGGUAAAAUCCUUUGAUCUAUUGAUGACCACCUGUGGCGAAGGCGGUCUACCAGAACACGUCCGACGGUGAGGGAUGAAAGCUGGGGGAGCAAACCGGAUUAGAUACCCGGGUAGUCCCAGCUGUAAACUAUGCAAACUCAGUGAUGCAUUGGCUUGUGGCCAAUGCAGUGCUGCAGGGAAGCCGUUAAGUUUGCCGCCUGGGAAGUACGUACGCAAGUAUGAAACUUAAAGGAAUUGGCGGGGGAGCACCACAAGGGGUGAAGCCUGCGGUUCAAUUGGAUUCAACGCCGGG